UACAUGGGGUGCAAACGUUGCUCGGAAUUAUUGGGCGUAAAGCGCGCGUAGGCGGUUACUCAAGUCGGAUGUGAAAGCCCUCGGCUUAACUGAGGAAGUGCACCCGAAACUGAGUAGCUAGAGUACCAAAGAGGGUCGCGGAAUUCCCGGUGUAGAGGUGAAAUUCGUAGAUAUCGGGAGGAACACCGGUGGCGAAGGCGGCGACCUGGGUGGAUACUGACGCUGAGGCGCGAAAGCGUGGGAGCAACAGG
rnacentral:rRNA from 1 species